GGCCCACCUGGUCGAGGAGCGAAUCCGCCGCCUCGCGCGCGGCGGGCGGGCGCCCGGCGAGGCCGAAGCGGAUGUUCUCGGCCACCGUGAGAUG
rnacentral:tRNA from 1 species